rnacentral:lncRNA from 1 species
GGAUGGUCAAGGACGCCCCAGACUAAGAACCUCCUCCUGUGAGAUUUCUUCAACCAGGGGCUUUGCCCCCAAGAGCCAGGAGCAUCAACACUUUAUUUUCCCCUCUUAGGGAAUGUCUUGCCAGGAGCCUGGUGGUCUCAUUGUUUGGGACUGACCCAUGCCUAAGGGAGGCCCUCACUCAUUCAUGUGUAACCACUACCGCCCCCCCCCACCCCCGCCCUGAGCACCAGGACAGAGAAGGCACAGGAAAGGAGUUCCGUGGCAGCUUGCCAAAGGGACAUCAGAGGAACUGGACGCCUCCAGCUAACCCUGGGAUAUGAAUCAUACGGCCCAGGUCUCGCAUUUUCUGUCCUCCUCGGCCUACGUUGCCUCCCAGCGUUAAAAAUCCCUCUGGACAGCGCCACCGAGGUGUUUGGCAUUCGGCACCGCCUUGAUGUUUGUGGGCCAGGCCCGAGGUUUCCUCAAUCAAGACCCUUUUGCGAGCCAUCCUAA